CUGUUCUGUAUGCUCAGUCAAAUCCCAGCUCUCCGUCCUCAGCUAAGUCAUGAUGGUUUACUCGGGCUGAUGCUCCAGCAUUACAGUGGCAAGAUUCAGCUAAGCCAGACAGAAUCAGCUAACAGCUUUCUCAGCAAUAUCACUGGUGUUGAUGGAAAAGAAAGUUGGCUGAAAUGCCAAGGAAGAAGAGCCUGUGCAAACACUGAGAUGGGUUUACGAAGGAAACCGGCGAAAGCAGUGUCUGAAAAUUCAAGAGAUGCGGCAGCAAUUGUUUCAAGAAACAGGAAGAAAUCAACAGCAUUAACUAUUGGCAAGAUGUCCAUUUUAUAUGUCAGUAAGAUCUUGGUGACUUGCCAAAACAGGGUUGAAGCAGAGUGCUGAAGGUGGAAGCCAGAAUGUGAUAGCUUGAAGAGUGAGUGGAAGUCAAGCAAGUAGAGAUGACAAGUGUGAACAAGUCAGUUGAGUUUGCUCUGCCAUUUCAAUUUUGCGGGUUUUUGUGCUUAUUACAGAGGUACUGCCUAAACUUAGCACUUUUCUUUGCAUUCAGUUUUUUUGUGCAUGUGUGAGGAAGAUUGACCCUGGGCUAACAUCUGUUGCCAAUCUUUCUCUUUUUGCUUGAGGAAGACUGUCACUCAGUUAACGUCUGUGCCAAUACUCCUCUAUUUUAUGUGGGAUGCUGCCACGGCAGGGCUUGAUAAGUGGUGCUAGGUCUGUGCCCAGGAGCCGAACCUGCAAACCCUGGGCUGCCAAAGAGGAGCAUGUGAACUUAACCACUACACCACCGGCUGGCCCUGCAUUCAGUUUUGAAAGAGUGAAAGGAGGAAGUCUUUCUCUGAUGGGUUAUUGCAAACGUGGGUGGGGGAAUAAAGUCGUGCAGCCAUCCAUGUGACUGUAGUGCAAAAUAACUGUCCUUGUGAGUGUAUGGGUGGGGACAUUUUGCUGUCUUCUUCAUGUGCUUUUCUUCCUCUAAUGCCCUGAAUAUCUUGGCCUUCAAGAGUUCCAACACUGACACUUGUAUUCUUACCCAACACUUCUCUGAGGUAUUCUCUUCCUUUCUCUCAUGUGUCAACUAUGUAUCUCUUGUCUGUAUCUCCAGCCCAGACCUUAUGCUUGAAUUUAGACUCACAUAUCUGACUGCCUACUGGAUAUCCUACACACACUUCAAAGAUUACAAAUAAUUACUUUGUUCUAGCACU
rnacentral:lncRNA from 1 species